rnacentral:rRNA from 1 species
GUAGUCAUAUUGCUGUCUCAAGAUUAAGCAUGCAUGUCUAAGUAUAAGCAAUAUACGUGAACUGCUAUAGCUCAGUAAUCAGUAUCGGUUAUAGAUAGUACCUUACUACUCGAUAACCGUGGUAAUUCUAGAGCUAAUACAUGCUUAAAAACUCCAACUUCGGGAGGCGUGUAUUUAUUAGAUAAUAAACCCAAUGCCCUUUCGGGGCUCUUUGGUGAUUCAUGAUAACUUCUCAGAUCGCAUAGCCAUGUGCUGGCGACGGUUCAUUCAAAUUUCUGCCCUAUCAACUUUCGAUGGUAAGGUAUUGGCUUACCAUGGUUUCAACGGGUAACGGGGAAUUAGGGUUCGAUUCCGGAGAGGGAGCCUGAGAAACGGCUACCACAUCCAAGGAAGGCAGCAGGCGCGCAAAUUACCCAAUUCCGAUACGGAGAGGUAGUGACAAUAAAUACUGAUACAGGGCUCUUUUGGGUCUUGUAAUUGGAAUGAGUACAAUUUAAACCUCUUAACGAGGAACAAUUGGAGGGCAAGUCUGGUGCCAGCAGCCGCGGUAAUUCCAGCUCCAAUAGCGUAUAUUAAAGUUGUUGCAGUUAAAAAGCUCGUAGUUGAACCUUUGGCCUGGCUGGCAGGUCCGCCUCACCGCGUGCACUUGUCCGGCCGGGCCUUUUCUUCUGGAGAACCGCAUGCCCUUCACUGGGUGUGUUGGGGACCAGGACUUUUACUUUGAAAAAAUUAGAGUGUUCAAAGCAGGCCUUUGCUCGAAUACGUUAGCAUGGAAUAAUAGAAUAGGACGUGCGGUCCUAUUUUGUUGGUUUCUAGGACCGCCGUAAUGAUUAAUAGGGACAGUCGGGGGCAUCAGUAUUCAAUUGUCAGAGGUGAAAUUCUUGGAUUUAUUGAAGACUAACUACUGCGAAAGCAUUUGCCAAGGAUGUUUUCAUUAAUCAGUGAACGAAAGUUAGGGGAUCGAAGACGAUCAGAUACCGUCGUAGUCUUAACCAUAAACUAUGCCGACUAGGGAUCGGGCGGUGUUUCUAUUGUGACCCGCUCGGCACCUUACGAGAAAUCAAAGUGUGUGGGUGCUGGGGGGAGGUACGUCCCCA